ensembl:lncRNA
CCCUGGGUCACAAGCUUAUUCCUGACUUGGGGGGUGGGGCCAAAUGCUCUAAGUGUGUAGAAGGGAGAGUUCACCCCCCACAGAAAGAAAACUGGAUUGUUGCUACCAGAAGGAGAAGGGGUCAAUGUAGGCAGAAAACAACAGAUGCCCAUGUCUUCCAAGACCACAGAUCUGCGCACUGUCGCCUCUAGAGGGACACUCAGGAAGACAUCCAGCAAGCCCUCUAAGCAGGGGCUUAGGUCUUGGGCUUCCCUGCUGGCUCAGCUGGUAAAGAAUCCGCCUGCAAUGUGGGAGACCUGGGUUUGAUCCCUGGGUUGGGAAGAUCUCCGGAAGAAGGGAACAGCUAUCCACUCAAGUAUUCUGGCCUGCAGAAGUCCGUGGACUGUAUGUAUAGUCCAUGGGGUCGCAAAGAGUCUGACGCGACUGAGCAACUUUCACUUAGGCUUGGAUAGCGGCUUCCGUGGGCUCCUGGCUCUCCAGAGCCAUGUUCUCAGGUUCUCAGCUCCCUGCUUCUGGAAAUUUGUCGUUGUCAGUCUAGCUAGAUGAUUCUCCCCACCGGGCCUGGCUCGCGCCAGCCUGACUCGGCAGAGGCUGAUGUGUAUCUAAACCCCAUCUCGGAGGGAACAGCAAUUGCCAAAGGACCUGAGCAGGGCUGUCUCCUGGUCAGUGCACUUUCCCUGUCGAAGACCACAAGGGAAGCCAGACUCUCAUCACAGGGUUGCUUAGCGACCACAGAACCAGGCAAGAGAAGUUCUCCGGAGAAAGUCAGUGACUUUAAAACGCCCACAGAUGCUAGAAGAAUGAGGAGACGACACGUUACCCGCAGAGAGACAGCAUCACGACUGGCGUCUCCCGCCCAGUCUUCCUUGCGACUCAUCGCUUCUUCUGUCCAUCCACGUCUGUCUCCGCUGGAAGGGGCCCCGCCCGUCCCAGACUCUCCCCUCGGCCUCCACCCCCGGGUUUUCACCCUGUCUCAGGAUGCAGAUAUCUUUCUCGGUCUCCGUCCCUCUUCCGGUUUCUAUCCGGGCGUCGAGGCCUCAAGUUCGUGUGGACCGCGCACGCGCAAAGGCCAGGUCCGG